UGAUGAAGGUUUUCGGAUCGUAAAACUCUGUUGUUAGACCGUUCGAAUAGGGCGGCACCUUGACGGUACCUAACCAGAAAGCCGCGGCUAACUACGUGCCAGCAGCCGCGGUAAUACGUAGGUGGCAAGCGUUGUCCGGAAUUAUUGGGCGUAAAGCGCGCGCAGGCGGUUUCUUAAGUCUGAUGUGAAAGCCCCCGGCUCAACCGGGGAGGGUCAUUGGAAACUGGGGAACUUGAGUGCAGAAGAGGAGAGUGGAAUUCCACGUGUAGCGGUGAAAUGCGUAGAGAUGUGGAGGAACACCAGUGGCGAAGGCGACUCGCUGGUCUGUAACUGACGCUGAGGCGCGAAAGCGUGGGGAGCGAACAGGAUUAGAUACCCUGGUAGUCCACGCCGUAAACGAUGAGUGCUAAGUGUUAGAGGGUUUCCGCCCUUUAGGGCUGCAGCAAACGCAUUAAGCACUCCGCCUGGGGAGUACGGUCGCAAGACUGAAACUCAAAGGAAUUGACGGGGGCCCGCACAAGCGGUGGAGCAUGUGGUUUAAUUCGAAGCAACGCGAAGAACCUUACCCAGGUCUUGACAUCCCUCUGACAACCCUAGAGAUAGGGUUUCCCCUUCGGGGGCAGAAGUGACAGGGGGUGCAUGGUUGUCGUCAGCUCGUGUCGUGAGAUGUUGGGUUAAGUCCCGCAAACGAGCGCAACCCCUUGAUCUUAGAUGGCCGCCAUUUCGAGUUGGGGAACUCUAAGGUGAACUGCCCGGAGACCAAACCCGGAAGGAGGGGGGG
rnacentral:rRNA from 1 species